UACGUAGGGUGCAAGCGUUAAUCGGAAUUACUGGGCGUAAAGCGUGCGCAGGCGGUUUUGUAAGUCUGUCGUGAAAUCCCCGGGCUCAACCUGGGAAUUGCGAUGGAGACUGCAAGGCUAGAAUCUGGCAGAGGGGGGUAGAAUUCCACGUGUAGCAGUGAAAUGCGUAGAGAUGUGGAGGAACACCGAUGGCGAAGGCAGCCCCCUGGGAUAGCACUGACGCUCAUGCACGAAAGCGUGGGGAGCAACAGG
rnacentral:rRNA from 1 species